UUAUUUUUUUUAAGGCCCCAAAGAGUCCGAUGUUUACAAGACCAGAAAUGCCACAGCCGCGUCCUGGCAAAGAAAAGGCUGAAAUGGAGGACCGGCGCCUUCCUUAUAAGCUCAUUGGGGCCUGAGCCAGCACCGACCUGGUAGAAAAAGCAACCACGAAGCUAGAGAGAGAGCCAGAGGAGGGAAGAGAGCACCAGACGAAGGUGAAAGCGAACCACGCAGAGAAAUACAGGCAAGGGAGCAAGGCGGCAGUUCCCGGAACAAACGUGGCAGAGGGCAAGACAGGCACUCACAGACAGAGGUUUAUGUAUUUUUAUUUUUUUAAAAUCUGAUUUGGUGUUCCAUGACGAAAAGGGAAAAUCUGGGGAACAGGAGUACAGAGAGAAUUAUCCGGGUCCUAGCUCGCCACAUGAACGCCCAGAAGGAGAGAACGCUGGAAAAACCUGAGCGGGUGCCCGGGCAGCACCCGGCUCCGGUCAGCCGCUGCCCCACACGGUGCCGGGAUGGGCCCACCAACUCCCCCCUCACGGCCACCCGGGCUUCCUUGCUCUUCUUAUCAUCUCCAUCUUUAUGACAAGGCUUGUUAACAAGACCAGCGAGCUGGCCACGCACAUCUAUCUCAACCGCGCCCGCUCAGCCGAGCAGCGGCCGGCGGGGGGACUGGGAGGCGCUAAUUAAUUGAUUCCUUUGGACUGUAAAAUAUGGCGGCGUCUACACGGAAUCCAUGGACUCAUAAACAAUAUCUCUGCUGGGCGUGAGUGCACUGUCAAAGAAUUUUUCCAUAGGCAUGUGUCAGAGGGUUCUGGAUAUUUAGUUGCUAAGGAAAAACCCAAAUGGGACUAACUUUAGGAGGCCCAAACAGAGUUCGUUCAGUGCCAGAAAAUGCUUCCCCAAAGGGGUUGGGAGUGUGUUUUGUUGGAAAAAUCCUUGGGUUAUAGCAAAGCCUUUCCAUGCUACUUGUGUAGACCCAGCCCAGUUUAAUAAUUACAAGGAAGCGAAGGGGUUGUGUAGGCCGGAAGCCUUUCUGUCCCAGCUGGAUGCAGGGGACUUGAGCUGCUCCGGGAUUUGAGAGGAACAUAGUAGCAGAGGUCCAGCCUUUGCUUCAUGCUGCCUCCUAAAGAUUCAAAAACAAAUUUUUAAAAGUGAAACCAGCCUUAUAGCCUUCGGAAGCUCUUGAAGGCUCAGCACCCACCCAGGAAUCCACCUGCCUAUUACACGCCUCUCCAAGCCACAGUGGCACCCCUUUUCUAACUGGCAGCACAGAGCAACUCUAUAAUAUGCUUAUAUUAGGUCUAGAAGAAUGCAUCUUGAGACACGUGGGUAGCCUAAUUAUAUAAUGCUUAUUCCAUACAGGAGUGAUUAUGCAGUGGGACCCUGCUGCAAACGGGACUUUGCACUCUAAAUAUAGACCCCAGCUUGGGACAAAAGUUGCAACAGAUAAAUAGACAUAAGGGAACACUUAAAUAAGUAAUGCAUGUAGACAUGGAAGGGGUAUUUAAAAGACAGAAAUAAUAGAAGUACAGAAGAACAGAAAAAAGACUCAGCAGAUGGAGAUUACCAUUCCCAAAGCCUGAACUUCCUCCUGCUAUUAAGAUUGCUAGAGAAUUGUGUCUUAUGAACAGUUCAUGAACCCAGAAGAAUGCAAUUUCAAUGUAUUUAGUCCACACACAGUAUGUAUAUAAACACAACUCACAGAAUAUAUUUUCCAUACAUUGGGUAGGUAUGCACUUUGUGUAUAUAUAAUAAUGUAUUUUCCAUGAAGUUUUAAAACGUAGAUAUAUUAAUAUCUGGAUGCAUUUUCUAUGCACUGGUUUUAUAUGCCUUAUGGAGUAUAUACUCACAUGUACCUAAUAGACUCAGGACUGCACAUUCCUUGUGUAGGAUGUGUGUGUGUGGUGGUUAUAUGUGUAAAUAAAGUUUUACAUGUGGUGAA